CCCCUAGAUGUUCUGGGCCGCACGCGCGCUACACUGAACAGUUCAACAAGUCUUAACCUUGGCCGAUAGGUCUGGGUAAUCUUUGAACGCUGUUCGUGAUUGGGAUAGACCUUUGCAAUUAUGGGUCUUCAACGAGGAAUUCCUAGUAAACGCAAGUCAUCAGCUUGCAUUGCUUACGUCCCUGCCCUUUGUACACACCGCCCGUCGCACCUACCGAUUGAAUGGUCCGGUGAAAUCUCGGGACGGCGGCUUGGUCGCUUGCGUCCGACUGCUGAAACUUGAUUAAACCAUAUCAUUUAGAGGAAGGUGAANUCGUAACA
rnacentral:rRNA from 1 species